CCUGUUGUCAAAGAGUGAUUCAAUUUCCUCUAAUUUUUUCCCUUUGGUCUCAGGAAGACAGCCAUAGAUGAAAAGGAGUCCCACGGCAGCGAAUCCAGCAUAAAGGAAGAAGGCUCCUGCAAUGGAAAAUAAUAUGAAUAUACACAGAAACAUUUCUUGGGAAGGCUCAAGGAAAACUACAGAGGAAAAAUGCUGCUCAAGUGGCCACCCAAAAAAUCUGCUCUCUGGAAUGAGGAGCUGUGAGAAAACAGAAGGGAAAUAGAGAUAAAUUAUGAGAAAUUAGAAAAAAUAUUAAAGAGUUGACUAAAUCAAGACAUAGUUUGUUAAGACUUAAGUCAUCAGAAGCCAUACAAUCUUAAGGAGCUGGACUUGUAUAAAUCAAAUUCUCUUUAAUAAAAACACAACUCUAUUUACAAA